AACAGUGUGCUCUGCAGCUAGACAGGCCACAGUUUGCUGUUUGCCAGCAGACUUUCACACCUGGCUUCCAGCAAUAGAGCGGAAAGGCACCCUGGCCUGCCCUGAAGCAUGCACUUGAUCACCUGGUUGAAAGAAACAAAGAGAGAGCAAAAGAUAUGUGGCCUUGGAAGGAUGGCAUGCAAAAAGGAAGGUGUCAGACAAAUCGCUAACACACACCAAGACUCAUGUGCCUUUGUUUCAAGAUCCUGGCCAGAAGUAGGUACUGAGUCCCCUACAGGACUGAGCUGCUGUCUGGGAUUGACCUCAUCAGAACUGGAAUCACACAUUUUAAGCGGUAAAAAAAACACUCUCUUGAAAGGAUUGUGCAUAUGUGUACCCAAAUAUCCUCAGAGAAGAAAAACACAAAGCUGUCUCCAUGUGGGGCUGGCUAGCUUGCAGAUCCUUAAAAAAGAGUCAAAACUAGAAUGCAAGACAUCGGAGGAAUUCAGACCUACGACCUUCUGAAUAUUCACAAUGAACCCACUCCGAAAGCAUCAUGCACUUCAAUCUCAGGAAAGCUUUUGUUGUCUUUGGUGUGGUUACAAUUACUAAAAUAAGAUAGUUGGAAUGCCUUUCCAUGUACCAACACAGACUACGAACACAGUCACAUAGUUCUGCAACAUGCGUCUGACAUUAGAUCUACUUUUCAGUAGAUCUACAGUUUCAGGCAAAUUCAUUCACAGGCUUAUAAAGCUACUCUAAGACACAUAUAUGAAUCCCUAUUAUUCUAAACAGUAGUUUCUUAUCUCGUGCUUCGUUGCGGGAAAAAGAUAGAAACAUUUUCUUCUCAUACCUACAACUUUGGCUUUUAUGACAUCAUCAAAAUGCAUUGGUAUUUAGCUUCUCUUCUUUCAGUACUUUAAAAAAGGGGGGAGGAAGGAGACAGGAGCUUAUGCUACCUACCUUUCUAAUAUGCUGUCAUUAGAGAGAGUUUUAGAAUCAAAAGCUAAGAAAUAAAGAUAAUUUUAAGAAAUAAAAAUAAUUAUUA
rnacentral:lncRNA from 1 species